rnacentral:lncRNA from 1 species
GGAAUUUCAUCCAGACGUGGGAGUUGCUUUCAAUAGAAGAGGUCUUCUAAUAUCACUUAAACUGGUACAUUACAUUGCAGGAAGUUUGCAACUUGGCUCAUACAUUUGAUCCAGGAUGUGUUGUUAAUGGAUUUGGUGAUGAGGUUGCCUAAUGUGAUGGACGAGGGAUAGGCCUUUAUGCAUGAUUCUUGGCAACAGAUCAUAACGUGUUCGAGGUUUGUAAUGUUUACUGUCUAUUGGCUUGUAUUUUCGGAGAUUUGAAUCCUGCCUCCAUGGGAUAAUUGCGGAGAUAUUUAUCAACCACCUACAUCAUCACUAUUUUUUUCUCUUGGGAAGGACUAAUGAUCUGACCGAGCGUUCCAUUCUAUUUUAUGUUUCAUUCUAAUAAAUAUCUUGUGACAUGAAAAACAAAUGAAUAACAUGUCAAACAGUUUCAGCAAAAAAAAAGAAUAUAACAUAUCAAACAGAUAAGACCUUUCUGUUGCUUUGUUCUCCUCUAUUAUGUUUUGCUUUUUCCGUUCAAAGUAUAUUACCUAGUAUAUAUGGAUAUACACAUUAGAAUCAGAGUUUUGGAGUUGACUUAUUCUCUGUGAUAUAUGAUCCUUCAUCAUAAAUGGAUUAACUGAAGUCCGAUGGUUUGCCUAACCUGUAGAGAGCAUGAAUGAAUGAAGAAUUCAUCCCAAGGAUGCAGGAUUCAUCAAGCUGCUUCAUUUCAUCCCUUGUAACUAUUAGAACUCAACUCAUAAGUUUGCUGGUCUGCUUUUAUAGAGUUACCAAGUUUUACCAGUAAUCAGGCCAGAAAAUAGUUAUACACAUACUUCCCUAGCAAUUUGAAUCACAAUGACC